UACGUAGGUGGCGAGCGUUGUCCGGAUUUACUGGGUGUAAAGGGGGCGCAGACGGCGAUGCGAGCCAGGAGUGAAAGCCCGGGGCCCAGCCCCGGGACUGCUCUUGGAACUGCGUGGCUGGAGUGCAGGAGGGGCAGGCGGAAUUCCUGGUGUAGCGGUGAAAUGCGUAGAUAUCAGGAGGAACACCGGUGGCGAAGGCGGCCUGCUGGACUGCAACUGACGUUGAGGCCCGAAAGCGUGGGGAGCAAACAGG
rnacentral:rRNA from 1 species